AGAAUGAACGCUGGCGGCGUGCCUAACACAUGCAAGUCGUGCGCGAAAGGGACUUCGGUCCCCGGUAGAGCGGCGAACGGGUGAGUAACACGUGGGUAACCUGUCUGAGAGUGGGGGAUAACCUGGGGAAACUCGGGCUAAUACCGCAUACGUCCACUGGGCCUCGGCUCGGUGAGGAAAGGUGGCCUCUGCUUGCAAGCCACCACUCCCAGAGGGGCCCGCGUCUGAUUAGCUAGUUGGCGGGUAACGGCCCACCAAGGCGACGAUCA
rnacentral:rRNA from 1 species